rnacentral:rRNA from 1 species
AAAACAUGCAAGUCGAGCGGAUGAAGGGAGCUUGCUCCUGGGAUUCAGCGGCGGACGGGUGAGUAAUGCCUAGGAAUCUGCCUGGUAGUGGGGGAUAACGUCCGGAAACGGGCGCUAAUACCGCAUACGUCCUGAGGGAGAAAGUGGGGGAUCUUCGGACCUCACGCUAUCAGAUGAGCCUAGGUCGGAUUAGCUAGUUGGUGGGGUAAAGGCCUACCAAGGCGACGAUCCGUAACUGGUCUGAGAGGAUGAUCAGUCACACUGGAACUGAGACACGGUCCAGACUCCUACGGGAGGCAGCAGUGGGGAAUAUUGGACAAUGGGCGAAAGCCUGAUCCAGCCAUGCCGCGUGUGUGAAGAAGGUCUUCGGAUUGUAAAGCACUUUAAGUUGGGAGGAAGGGCAGNAAGUUAAUACCUUGCUGUUUUGACGUUACCAACAGAAUAAGCACCGGCUAACUUCUGCCAGCAGCCGCGGUAAUACGAAGGGUGCAAGCGUUAAUCGGAAUUACUGGGCGUAAAGCGCGCGUAGGGGUUCAGCAAGAUGGAUGUGAAAUCCCCGGCUCAACCU